rnacentral:snoRNA from 1 species
UUGCUGUGAUGAUACUUGCUUUUGCUCACUGCUGACUUGCUGCGAAGACCUUUUUCUCUUGGCCGUCUGAGUAG